GAUGAACGCUGGCGGCGUGCCUAAUACAUGCAAGUCGAGCGAAUGGAUUAAGAGCUUGCUCUUAUGAAGUUAGCGGCGGACGGGUGAGUAACACGUGGGUAACCUGCCCAUAAGACUGGGAUAACUCCGGGAAACCGGGGCUAAUACCGGAUAACAUUUUGAACCGCAUGGUUCGAAAUUGAAAGGCGGCUUCGGCUGUCACUUAUGGAUGGACCCGCGUCGCAUUAGCUAGUUGGUGAGGUAACGGCUCACCAAGGCAACGAUGCGUAGCCGACCUGGGAGGGGGAUCGGCAAAACUGGGACGGAGCCACGGCCAAGAGGCCUACGGGAGGCAGCAGUAGGGAAUCUUCCGCAAUGGACGAAAGUCUGACGGAGCAACGCCGCGUGAGGGAUGAAGGCUUUCGGGUCGUAAAACUCUGUUGUUAGGGAAGAACAAGUGCUAGUUGAAUAAGCUGGCACCUUGACGGUACCUAACCAGAAAGCCACGGCUAACUACGUGCCAGCAGCCGCCGUAA
rnacentral:rRNA from 1 species